rnacentral:rRNA from 1 species
GAUGAACGCUGGCGGCGUGCUUAACACAUGCAAGUCGAACGGAAAGGCCCAAGCUUGCUUGGGUACUCGAGUGGCGAACGGGUGAGUAACACGUGGGUGAUCUGCCCUGCACUUCGGGAUAAGCCUGGGAAACUGGGUCUAAUACCGGAUAGGACGAUGGUUUGGAUGCCAUUGUGGAAAGUUUUUUCGGUGUGGGAUGAGCUCGCGGCCUAUCAGCUUGUUGGUGGGGUAAUGGCCUCCCAAGGCGUCGACGGGGAGCCGGCCUGAGAGGGUGUACGGCCACAUUGGGCCUGGGAAACGGCCCAGACUCCAACGGGAGGCAGGAGUGGGGAAUAUUGAACAAUGGGCGCAAGCCUGAUGCAGCGACGCCGCGUGGGGGAUGACGGCCGUCGGGUUGUAAACUCCUUUCGCUAGGGACGAAGCGUUUUUGUGACGGUACCUGGAGAAGAAGCACCGGCUAACUACGUG